UUACGGCCAUAUCACGUUGAAACACCGAUUCCCGUAUGAUCACCGAAAUUAAGCAACGUCAAGCCUGUUCAGUAUUUAGAUGAGUGGCCGCUUGGGAAUACCAAGUGAAGUA